GGCUAACUACGUGCCAGCAGCCGCGGUAAUACGUAGGUGGCAAGCGUUGUCCGGAAUUAUUGGGCGUAAAGCGCGCGCAGGCGGUUUUUUAAGUCUGAUGUGAAAGCCCCCGGCUCAACCCGGGAGGGUCAUUGGAAACUGGGAAACUUGAGUGCAGAAGAGGAGAGUGGAAUUCCACGUGUAGCGGUGAAAUGCGUAGGAUGUGGAGGAACACCAGUGGCGAAGGCGCCUUUCUGGUCUCUAACUGACGCUGAGGCGCGAAAGCGUGGGGAGCGAACACGAUUAGAUACCCCGGUAGCCACGCCCUAAACGAUGAGUGCAUAAGUGUUAGAGGGUUUCUCCGCCUUCAGUGCGCAGCGUGCGGCGUGAGUCAUCCGCGGUGUACUGGAGCAAAGGGG
rnacentral:rRNA from 1 species